GAUCAUGGCUCAGGAUGAACGCUGGCGGCGUGCCUAACACAUGCAAGUCGAACGGAGCUGCUUUGAUGAAGUUUUUCGGAUGGAUUUAAAACAGCUUAGUGGCGGACGGGUGAGUAACGCGUGGGUAACCUGCCUCACACUGGGGGAUAACAGUUAGAAAUAGCUGCUAAUACCGCAUAAGCGCACGGUUCCGCAUGGAACAGUGUGAAAAACUCCGGUGGUGUGAGAUGGACCCGCGU
rnacentral:rRNA from 1 species